CGCAUCUGUGCAUGCAGCAUAUCAAUAACGGAGGAAAAGAAACUAACAAGGAUUCCCUUAGUAACGGCGAGUGAAGCGGGAAGAGCUCAAAUUUGAAAUCUUCAAGGUUUUACCUUGACGAAUUGUAGUUUAAAGAAGUGUUUUCUGUUGAAGUUUUGGUAAAAGUUCUUUGGAAUAGGACAUCAUAGAGGGUGAGAAUCCCGUAUUUGACCAUUAUUUUCAGCUGUGUGAUACACUUUCAAAGAGUCGGAUUGUUUGGGAAUGCAGUCCAAAAUGGGUGGUAAAUUUCAUCUAAAGCUAAAUAUUGGCGAGAGACCGAUAGCGAACAAGUACCGUGAGGGAAAGAUGAAAAGAACUUUGAAAAGAGAGUUAAACAGUACGUGAAAUUGUCAAAAGGGAAGCGUUUGACACCAGUGUUGUUUUCUCGAAAAUCAAUUAAAAAGAGUUUGAUUUUGUUGUGUAUUGACCUUAACAGCUUGCAUUUCAAUUUUCUUGCUUUUUUUAAUGCACUUUUCGUUUAACAAGUCAACAUCAGUUUCUUUUGUUGUAAAAAGGUCAUUGGAAGGUGGCUUUCUUUUCGGAGAAAGUGUUUAUAGCCUUUGACUCCUGCAAUCGGAGAGACUGAGGUCUGCAGCGUAGAUCCUUCGGGGUUAGAUACAUUUGUGCUAAGUUAUAGCUUUUUAUAGACAACUUGUUGACUAUGAUUAGUCUUGUAGCUUACUCGCUUAUGCUAUUUUACCUACGCUUAGGAUGUUGACACACGCGCGUGCUCGACUCUAUACAUGACUCUGUGCAUAUCAAUAAGCGGAGGAAAAGCAUAACAUGUAUACCUACGCUUAGGAUGUUGAAGAUAUGCGCGACAC
rnacentral:rRNA from 1 species